rfam:Oryza glumipatula chromosome 1, whole genome shotgun sequence.
AAAUAACGCAUCUAUAAAUUUCCGUGUUCAAUUUGGAUCAUCCGUCUUAUUUGAGAUUUUUUAUGAAUCGUAUUUUUAUUGUUAUUGGAUUAUAAAAUAUGAAUAAUAUUUUAUGUGUGACUUAUGUUUUUUAGUUUUUUCAAAAAAAAAUUAAAUAAGACGGACGAUUAAAGUUGGACACGGAAAAUCAUCACUGCGUUUAUU